AACGAACGCUGGCGGCAGGCUUAACACAUGCAAGUCGAGCGCCCCGCAAGGGAGCGGCAGACGGGUGAGUAACGCGUGGGAACAUACCCUUUGGUUCGGAAUAACUCAGGGGAAACUUGAGCUAAUACCGGAUACGUCCGUAAGGAGAAAGAUUUAUCGCCAAAGGAUUGGCCCGCGUCCGAUUAGCUAGUUGGUGAGGUAACGGCUCACCAAGGCUACGAUCGGUAGCUGGUCUGAGAGGAUGAUCAGCCACAUUGGGACUGAGACACGGCCCAAACUCCUACGGGAGGCAGCAGUGGGGAAUAUUGGACAAUGGGCGCAAGCCUGAUCCAGCCAUGCCGCGUGAGUGAUGAAGGCCUUAGGGUUGUAAAGCUCUUUUGUUCCGGGAAGAUAAUGACUGUACCGGAAGAAUAAGCCCCGGCUAACUUCGUGCCAGCAGCCGCGGUAAU
rnacentral:rRNA from 1 species